CCUACGGGAGGCAGCAGUGAGGAAUAUUGGUCAAUGGACGGAAGUCUGAACCAGCCAUGCCGCGUGCAGGAAGAUGGCUCUAUGAGUUGUAAACUGCUUUUGUACAAGGGUAAACCUGAAUACGUGUAUUCAGCUGAAAGUACUUUACGAAUAAGGAUCGGCUAAAUCCGUUCCAGCAGCCGCGGUAAUACGUAGGAUCCAAGCUUUCUCCGGAUUUAUUGGGUUUAAAGGGUUCGUAGGCGGAUUGAUAAGUUAGAGGUGAAAUGUCCGAGCUUAACUCGGGAACUGCCUCUAAUACUGUUGAUCUAGAGAGUAGAUGCGGUAGGCGGAAUGUAUGGUGUAGCGGUGAAAUGCUUAGAGAUCAUACAGAACACCGAUUGCGAAGGCAGCUUACCAAUCUAUAUCUGACGUUGAGGCACGAAAGCGUGGGGAGCGAACAGGAUUAGAUACCCCUGUAGUC
rnacentral:rRNA from 1 species